rnacentral:lncRNA from 1 species
GACAUCUUCUGCCAAGAAGAGGAGAUGACAGGCUAUGGUCUUAAGAUACCAGAGAUCUACAUGAUAUAAAUUGCUGAGAAGUAUCCUUGAAGAAAAUCUUGGGUUUAGACUGGAAGUUUUUGCAAAAUCACCUUUUCAGCUUCCUCUCUUAUUCUCUAACUGUAUGUAUGGAGACUGCUUCUUACCAGCCUACUCUGAAGAUCACAGGUUGUUGUGAGGAGCGAGAUCUUGAUGGAAAGAAGAGUCCAUGCGAAGAACAACAUUAAGUGAAAAAAGGUAGAGUCAAACUCAUGAUAAUUUAC